UAAAGGCUUUAAAAGAGGCUUUUCUGGAGGUUAUGUAGUAAAAUUUAAAAUAGGCUUUGAAGAAGAAUUUGCAGGACGUUAGCAGCGGAUUUUGCAGAAAGUUGCAGCUGUUUUGAAGAUGGCUUCCCAGGAAGUUUUGCUAAAGGCUUUGUAGCAGGAUUUGCAUGAAGCUUUUGGUAUAAAGACUUAUUGCUUCUAAAAGAUCGCCUAAAGCUGCUACUAAACAUGUCUCAGUUCUUGUUCCCAUGAAGACAAGUACCAGAGAAUGGAGAUCCACUGCGAACGUUUGUGAGUAGAUGCUAAAGUGUGCUCUAAGUGGUGGACCCAUUCAGUGAUAGAAAUGAUAAGUGAUGCACUGAUGUGAUACUCGCUCUUAAAGUAGAACAGAGAAUAUAACAUUUCUCGGAAAGUAAAUAGUGGUGGGAUUUUUAGAUUUAUUAUGAGUGUGUGUGAGUGUGUGUGUGUUUGUGAAUGGUGUCUUCUAAAAUAUUUUUGUGUAACAUUUUGUCAGUUUUUGUUUUUUUAAUAUUUCGAAUUAAUUGAAUUUCUAGUGCUAUAAAACGUCAUUGAUAUGAUUUGUUUAUAUUGCAUUAAUGAAGAAAACUUGUGAGAGCUUGGUGACAGAUCAAAUGUGAUACUUGAACAGCCCCAACCAGCUGUAGGACAUGUGAAUAUGUUUCUGAUGUUCCUUCAAAAUUGAACCAUCCUCAAGACGACCGGGCAGGGGAUGGCUGCGGACAGAGUUCGAACCCAAGACCAUGGAGACGACAGUUCAAAGCGUAUAAAUUGCCAGAGACAAAACCAGGCCAUGCUCAUAUUUACCAUGUAUAUGUGUACUGUGUGAUUGUGUAGACUGUAGACUUUAUCGAUGUAUACAGAAAAAUGAGUAUGUUAGAAAAUGUCAAUAAUGUUAAUUAGAUUAUACUACCAUAGUAUGGUGUCUAUUGAAUACCAGCACACAUCCUAUUUCUCUCUCUCCAUCUCUUUUUAUUCUCUCUCGCUCUCUCUCUCUCCUUGUUUCUUUUUUCCUCAGUUCUCUCUCAUUCUCUCUCACUCUCUAUCUUGGAAUACUUAUCAUAUGGACCUAUUCAAUAGAACUUAUCAAUACUUAUCAUAUGGACCUAUUCAAUAGAACUUAUCAAUACUUAUCAUAUGGACUUUUCAAUAGAACUUAUCAAUACUUAUCAUAUGGACCUAUUCAAUAGAACUUAUCAAUACUUAUCAUAUGGACCUAUUCAAUAGAACUUAUCAAUACUUAUCAUAUGGACCUAUUCAAUAGAACUUAUCAAUACUUAUCAUAUGGACCUAUUCAAUAGAACUUAUCAAUACUUAUCAUAUGGACCUAUUCAAUAGAACUUAUCAAUACUUAUCAUAUGGACCUAUUCAAUAGAACUUAUCAAUACUUGUCUUAUGGCCCUAUCCAGUAGAACUUAACUUUGCUUGUCAUAUAAAUCCAUUCAGAAAAACCUGCAUUUUUUUAUUUUUUAAUUUGUUAUAUAUUUUAGCUAAAGCGAUGGGCUAGUUGACUAUAUUGCUUAUAUUGAAACAGACAUACACAUAUAUUAGUAAAAUUAUCAAAAUCACAGUAAAGCGGAACUGUCUAAGAGUUUCCACUAUUCUACUGCUACCAACUCAAAUGUAAAUUCUUGUAUUGAUGGCUUCUCCCUUAAACUCUUUCUCUCCGUAAUUAUUUACCACAUUCUGGUGGAAUCAACGCUGGUAUCGUCAGUUAGGAGAGAAAGAGUUAAAGAUAACUCAAAAUAUAAAUGUCUAUUGUAUUGAUGGAUCUAGUACUUCCUUUUUUAAGAUACUAACUGUACUAGCAGUGGGUUAUUUUUUUUCAAAUUAAAAUAUCAAGGUUUGAAAGGAAAGGAGAAAGGGCUCACAUUUGGCUUAUCAUCGCUAUCAUUGGGGACUUCUGCAAGUGACCUAGUACUUCGGCUUGACAGUCUAAAAAUAGUCCACGGGGGAAAUUGCCCAGGUAAUACGUGUGCCUCUUUAAACGAAAGGAAACAGAGACACCAUGAAAGGGUCAAGGCCGCGGGGACCUUCUGCGUCAUAGCAUUUAAACUACCUUUUUUUUUGUCAGGUCACACCAACCCAUUUGAGACCGUUGCUGCUAGCGAUACCUUUAUGUGUUAGUCAGGUAAAUGACAGUUUUUAAUCUUUUCAGAAAGAACAUCAGAAACUAUGAACUACAAGCUAUCAACAACUACAACCCCGAUACAAAAAUAAGAGACCUGCGCGUGUCAAAAGUGUAACCAAUACUGUUAUAGUGACAGUUCGACUAACGACUUGAUUGUUGUUGAUGGUCGUUGACUUGUAGCACCAAACUGCUGGUAGACAACUAAACCGCUGUAGGCGUUUUUUUAUAGUUUAACUUGUACAGCUUGAACUAACUUGAGUCACUUCUUUGUGAGCACAACUGAAUAAAACUUUGAUUACAAUAGAAAGAAACUCAGCUUCAGAUAAAAUGAAGUCAGUGUAGUAGACUUUAGACUUUAUAAAUGGUAUUUUAAACAAAAUCUAACUCACUACAAUAACACUUCUUUUAGGUCUCACGAUUUGGAGUCGUCUCCAUUCUAAGAUCGCUGAUGACAAUGCCACAUAUCUUGCGUCAUUCAGAACAAAUCGCUAACUUCUUCCCACCGUCACCAUAGAAACAAAUAAAUACACACACAUUCCAUAAAAUUGAUACAACAGGAUACAGAAAUUCAUAAAUGUUAUUAUUAUUACUUUGUUAAUAUUCAUAAGUAUUCAAUGAACUGAUAGUUAUGGAGAUAUGGCUAUAUGUCAACCUGGCCUAACUGAUGUUAUUGAAUCAUUAUCUGAUUGAUUUAAUUGUUUUGUAAAGGGCCAAUCUUUCAUUACAUAAAUAUGCGGUGUUUUGUUCUCUCUUA